rnacentral:rRNA from 1 species
UACGUAGGUGGCAAGCGUUGUCCGGAUUUUAUUGGGGUUUUAAAAGGGGUGCGUAGGCGGCUUUAUUAAGUCAGUGGUGAAAAUACUCUAGCUCAACUAGAGGGGGUGCCCAUUUGAUACUGAUGAGCUUUGAGUACAGAUGAGGUAGGGCGGAAAUUUGACGGGUGUAGCGGGUUGAAAAUGCUUUAGAUAUCGUCAAAGAAACACCCUAUAGCGAAGGGCAGCUUACUAGGCUGUAACUGACGCUGAGGCACGAAAAGUGUGGGGGGAUCAAAACAGGG